rnacentral:lncRNA from 1 species
ACGGGAGUGGAAUGAAAGAACCAGUGCAAGCGCAAGGCGUUGAUAGGAGAGCAGGACUUGGGAGUCAACAGAAGAAACUUGAUCCCGAGUUUGAGGCUCAGCCUGGUGAUACCUACAGAACUGUUCUCCAUAAGAAAGCUCUUGCGAGGUUUCGUGAAAUGUCUGACAAUAUUUGACUGUUGAGACUUGUGAGAGGCUUCGUGUGUGUAAACUGGAGUUGGAGUUUUUGUGCGUUGGUGGUUGUGUUUAAACUGAAAAGUGAUUUUAGUUUUGCUCUCUUGUCACUAUUGAACUUAAGUGGUUAAAACGGUUGUCGGAACGAUUGUUGUGGUGGUUUAGUUGGUGCUACCGCCUAUUACUGGAUGAACUUAUCACAAGAAAAGUUUAAUCGACCGUGAUUUACGUUGUUAUAUUUGCUCAAUACAUGAGACUGAACCGAUUCAAGUUUUACAAGCUCUGUAUAUAUAUGUAUCAAACAUCAACUCUUUUAAAGCUAUAGCAAAUUUAUUAGAUUAUGAGUUGGUAUUACUCCAAAUAAGCUAGCCACUUCUAUCAAAGGUUUAUCAGCAUGAAGAAAUGUGAGUUUCUGAUUAGUUGAAAAGGAGCAAGUUUGCAAAGAGACCAAGGAUGUGUGAACUUAUUCUUGAUUUUGAGAACUUUGACAGGGUUAGUAGGAGCCGUUGUAAUAGUGUUGAUUGCAUUAGGGGCAUGGGCUAUUUGUUUCCUUUACAGUACCUCCACCUUCUAAGAGAUGCGGUACGCCCGGUGGCCCGCCUAUUACUGCACCGAGGAUACGGCUCAGCAAUGGCAGUUAUUUAGCUUACCAAGAACAUGGAGUUAGUAGACAAAACGCCACCCUCAAGAUCAUCUUUAUCCAUGCAUUCGCCACAUUCAGGUGCCUGUAAUGAUUUGAAUCUCUCCUCUCUUACUAAACCAACAAUCUUUUUCGUCUUAAAUCAAAACUACUUUGUUAAUUGUAAACACCAAUUACAUCUUUUAGAAUCUUUUGAAGCUUACGUUUAUGCUGAGCUGAGCUGAUAUUGUUCAAACGUUAAAAUUCUUGUUAUAAACGCUAAUGCAUAGAUUCACAUUUGAAUACAUUUGAGCCCUACCUAGAGUAAUUGCGUUGUUUUUUUGGUCAGGGGUUUCUUGAGGAAAACAGCAUCUAUGUAAUAUCGUACGAUCGACCUGGUCCAGUCGCAAUGAAAAGACUUUAGCUCAUGUCUCGCUGACCAAUUACAGCUUGGUUCCAAGUUUUACGUGGUUGGAUACUCAAUGGGAGGCCAAGCCGUUCGAGGUGUUCUCAAAUACAUCCCCCCACAGACUCGCUGGAGCCACACUGCUAUUUCCUGUAACCAACUCAUGGUGGCCCAGUUUCCCUGAUAGUUUGACUUGGGAACUAUGGAACAAGCAAUCUAAAACCGAAAGGUUUGCGAUACUCCUUACUCACAACACGCCAUGGCUUCUCUAUUGGUGGAACAAUCAAAAGCUAUUCCAAACAUCAGCUGUGAUGCAAUCAAGUUCGACGAUAUACUCUCCUCAAGAUGUCUUUACUGCCCAAACUCGCUGCAAGGGUGGUGGCUUACAAGAACCAAACAACGCAACAGGGGACACAUGAAUCGUUAGACCGCGACAUGAUUGUCGGGUUUGGGAAAUGGGGUUUUGACCAUGUGAAGAUCGGGAAUCCGUUCCCGAAAGGUGAAUGGAUCAGUGCAUUUGUGGCAAGGGAUGAUGUCGGCUCGUCCCGGUACAGCUACAAAGGAUCAUAUAGUUCAGAAACUUAGUUGGAUAAAGUAUCAUGAGGUUCCACGCGCUGGUCAUUUGUUUUCAAAUGCUCGUGGGAUGGCAGAGACUGUCUUGAAUGCUUCAUUGACUAUUCCCCAAGCAUCUUAACUUCAUUAACAUUUUUGUUUAGACUUACUACAAAAUUGUACAAAAAAAUAGUACUAUUUUACGUAAAUAUGUUGCAGUGUAGUCAAAAAUGUAAUCUGGUAAAACAAUAACAACUAGAUCGGGAUGAACUUUAUAUAUAUAAAUUAUUUUAUGUAUUAUAUUUUUUUACAUAUUAUAAAAUAAUAAAUAUAUAUUAAACAAUUAAAAAUAAGUAACUAUUACAUAUAUAAUUAAACGGUGCGAACAUAUAACUCAAUUUUAUUAAUCCAAACAAUAUUUUUUUUCUAUUUGAUAGGAUAUAUAAUUAACUUUAAAUGUAUUAACAUAUAUAGUAUAUUUUUAAUAUUAAUUUCAUAUUAUUUUUUGAUCAUUUGUUUCUUUUAUAACAAAAACUUUAAAUUAGUGAUAACAAAAUUUUCAUUGUGGGAUUAGUUGUUUCAGUAAUUUAUAAUUUUUUUUAAAAAAUAAGUUGUCAAUGUUUGUUCAGAGCUUUUAUCAAAAAAAAAUUGUUCAAAGUAAAUUUCAAAAUUAAAAUAUUUGUGUAUUUUAUGUGAUAUAUAGUUUAAUUUAAAACGAUAUAACAUAUAUAUAUAUAUAUAUAUAUAUUUAAUCUUAAUAAUUAAUUAAAUUAGACUUUUUACUUAUAUGAUUUUAUAAUCAUUUGUAUUUUGUCAUAACAGAUAUUAUGAGAAAAGGUGCAUCAGAUCCAACACCCUUUCCUCCUGGUGUGGGCGUACGUGGAACUACCACGACCGAAGUCAGUGAUUACGAUGUAAUCACAGAAGAGAAAGCAAUAGACGAAAGUAACGUGGGAAACAGAAUGUUGAGGAACAUGGGUUGGCAAGAAGGAUCGGUAAAAUUUUGAAAAAAAAUGAUUAAUCUAACGUGAUAGGGUGAUGUUAGAAGAAGAAAAGAGUGGUGAUGGUUUGUUUGUUUGGUUAAGUGCAGGGUUUAGGGAGAGACGGGAGUGGAAUGAAAGAACCAGUGCAAGCGCAAGGCGUUGAUAGGAGAGCAGGACUUGGGAGUCAACAGAAGAAACUUGAUCCUGAGUUUGAGGCUCAGCCUGGUGAUACCUACAGAACUGUUCUCCAUAAGAAAGCUCUUGCGAGGUUUCGUGAAAUGUCUGACAAUAUUUGACUGUUGAGACUUGUGAGAGGCUUCGUGUGUGUAAACUGGAGUUGGAGUUUUUGUGCGUU